GGAAUAAUUGUUGGAAACGGCAACUAAUACCGUAUACGCCCUACGGGGGAAAAAUUUAUUGCUAUUAGAUGAGCCUAUAUUAGAUUAGCUAGUUGGUGGAGUAAUAGCCUACCAAGGCAAUGAUCUAUAGCUGAUCUGAGAGGAUGAUCAGCCACACUGGAACUGAGAUACGGUCCAGACUCCUACGGGAGGCAGCAGUGGGGAAUAUUGGACAAUGGGCGAAAGCCUGAUCCAGCCAUGCCGCAUGAGUGAAGAAGGCCUUUGGGUUGUAAAGCUCUUUUAGUGAGGAAGAUAAUGACGGUACUCACAGAAGAAGUCCUGGCUAACUCCGUGCCAGCAGCCGCGGUAAUACGGAGAGGGCUAGCGUUAUUCGGAAUUAUUGGGCGUAAAGGGCGCGUAGGCUGAUUAAUAAGUUAAAAGUGAAAUCCCAAGGCUUAACCUUGGAACUGCUUUUAAAACUAUUAAUCUAGAGAUUGAAAGAGGAUAGAGGAAUUCCUGAUGUAGAGGUAAAAUUCGUAAAUAUUAGGAGGAACACCAGUGGCGAAGGCGUCUAUCUGGUUCAAAUCUGACGCUGAGGCGCGAAGGCGUGGGGAGCAAACAGGAUUAGAUACCCUGGUAGUCCACGCUGUAAACGAUGAAUGUUAAAUAUGGGAAGUUUACUUUCUGUAUUACAGCUAACGCGUUAAACAUUCCGCCUGGGGACUACGGUCGCAAGAUUAAAACUCAAAGGAAUUGACGGGGACCCGCACAAGCGGUGGAGCAUGUGGUUUAAU
rnacentral:rRNA from 1 species